GGAGGUUGAGUGUAGUGUGCUGAGUUUGGAAGAAGAAGUGGUUUGGCUAUAAGUUGUGUAGGUGUGAUGUCUCCUGUGGAUUGGAGUUGGGUUGUAGUAGGAUUGGUUGGGUGCUGCCAUGUAGGAAUCGAGAGUUUUGUGAGUGAGAGAGUUGAGCUUGUGGUUUUCACAUACAUGGAAUGUGAUUUGGGUGAGUUCGGGUAAGAACUGCUCUUGGAUUAGAAUAUGUAGGGUCAGAUAUAAUAGAUAGGAAGGUUGGAUGGAGUAGGACCGGGCAAGUUACGGCUGGGGGGGGGAGUUCAACUGGGAUUAGGCAGAGGUGGGAUUGGAGGUGUCUGUGAGGAUCGUGAUUGGGAAUACCGUGAGAUUUGCAGCUUGUGUGAGAGCAUACAGGAGUCUAAUUGGAGAGGCGAUCGGGCUCUGCAGCCUUCUUGUGGAAGCAGUGUAGUCAGUCGGCCUGCUGUGAGGAGUUGGGGGUGAUUCGAACAAGUGAGGUCGUUGCUCACAGCUUGUAGAGGACGGUUGAGUGCGAUAGGCUGAUGGAUCGAUCGUGAAGGAGUUGGCUGAGAGUGGUCUACAGGUGGUUCGAACAGGGAGAGGGUCCGUGCUGGAGGUGUGCGAUCGGGACCAACGUGAAGGAAUUUUGUCGAAGGAGGCGCAAGUCGUGAGGAACAGUUCGCACUAAGUUGCGAUCUGGAGAGAGCGGAAGGUCAGUGCAGGAUUAUUGGCUGGACUUGCACGGACCGCGUGCAGCUUGAUUCAAAAGGAGCGGAGAGAAUCGAGUGGUUAAGGUCGGGGGUCUUGCAGCUGUAGCUGGAUUGGAUGUGGAGGUGCUGUUUGGUUCGAUUGUGAGGGAGGAGCGGUAUUAGUUUGACCAUUAGGGAGAAGGAGCGGUAUUGGGAGUUGCUUGCGGGAGUAUUUUGUGCAAGAGGGAGGAAAUCACAGCGGAGAGAGCUUUUGCUCUUGUUUUAAAACGGGGCUGCUUGAUCGAGACGAGCGUGAGAUUUACGGGAAUAGAUGUGAGCAGCACCGAACAAACGGGAUUUGAUCAGGGUACAGUACUGUUCAACCAAAUAAAGUUUACUACUGGCACUUGACUGGACUAAUAAUAAUUGAUCAGCCACUUGAGAGGAAUUCUUUGUAUGUGGAGGAACUAUUUGAAUACUCCCAACCCCCCAAAAGUGAGUCUCUACAGCUUUAUCUGAAGAGGGAUUUAGUUGGCUUUCAAUAAUAGCAGCAUUUUUCAUCAACUAAUAAGUUUGCUUUAGUUAUGCACCAUGGCCUGCCAUGCCUCCACAUUACAUUUGUCUACCUUGUUAUAUUCUGUAGGGGUGACUUGCUUGAAAUUUAAUUCCAACUGACUUAAAUAAUACAUAAUUACAAUAUAUAUAUAUAUAUGGUAAUUAUAUA